CAUCUCUGACAAUUUUUAAAAAGCAUUUGAAAACCUAUCUCUUUACCCAAGCUUUUUCAGUUCUUUACAAUUUUAAGGUUUUAAUCUGUGGAUGAUUUUUAAAUUGUUAAAUUGUUUUUAAGUUUUUGUAUAUGUUUUAACUUGUUUUAUUCUAUUUUCAACUGCCCAGAGAUGAAAGUUUGGGGCAGUGUACAAAUUUGACAAAUAAAUAAAUAAAUAAAAAUUAAAGAUGGUUACAAGAUUCUAAGUUGGCAACAGAAGCACUGGAAAAGAUUUGUGCAUGAUGGGAAUCACAUCCCCAGUUUUCAAUUCAAGUGCAAGACUCAUAUCACAGGAGCUAGAAUUGCACCAGAAUUACAGGAAGCAUUAUAUUGCCAGGAGGCAGAAAACUGUUUGAAAUAAAUACUAUCGAAGUUCACCAGAAGCCUGAUCCUACAAGACCUCAAAUGGAAGUCUCCUAUUGACUUGAUUGAGUUUUGGAAAAAGUCCCUCCUAAACUGGACAAGAUGGUCUAAAGUACAAGAUAUAAUAGAAAUGUGGGUGUUCUUCCAUGAGGAAGUGAAGAAUGUGGCUGAGGCCAUCUGUGACCCAAAUAAAAAGAACAGGACGGUAUGUUGCCUUAUGGAUGCCAGAACAGAAGUUGUGACAAGAAGGUCAAAGGAUACUCGGAACAGUCCUGGGGAAUUUCCACUCAUAUCCAAACCUACUCAUCAGACUGGAGGGAGAGAUGAAAGACUCUAAGAUAAUAUCUGAAAGAGAAGUCAAGGACAUGCUAUACCCCAGUAAAAGAAGGAGCAAUGCAUAUGUUUGUUAUGCACAUGAUGAUUGUAAUUAUUAUAUAAAAUCUCGGCUGUUUGGAGUGCCAUAAUUCAUGACACUUUUCAUCAAAUGCAGGCAGUAAGGAAAGCUUACGUAUAAUGGAUGCUCUCAGCAUCUCAACUGGUUGUUGCCUGUUCAACUCUAAGUGAUCUCCUAAGACCACAGUCUCUGUGCAAAUGGGCAAGUAGAUUUUUACAAUCUUUUUACCAAUUGUUACAUGAUUUUUACAAUCAUGUAAAAGAGAAAUUUUGGAAUCCUGAAGAUGGCUGCUUAAUGACAAGCAUUUAUGGCCAGGAAAAAAGCAGAUGAGUGUUCACUUAGAUAUAAGCAUAUGUUCUGUCAAUCUGAAUGGUUAGACAGAGAAAUUCAGAACUAAACAAAUAUAAGUUUAGGGGAGGUGUGUUUAUUUUCUUUUUUAAAAUACAUAACUAAGGAUUAACCUCUGUACCUCUGUAUCUAACCUCUGUAACCUCUGUAAAUAUGAAGAGAGAUUACUUUUCACACAUUGAAUGAAAUGGCUCUAGAUAACAUAAGAAAUACAUAUAGUAAAACCUAUGGUUUCAAAUGGCAUUUUAGAAGCUACUGAGUUUGGAAAGAAUUUUGUGAUAAACACCCUGAAAAGGGAAAGGGGAAAUUGCUGGCAACAUUAAUCAGUAAAAGAAAGGAGGAUAAAUCAUUUCAGGAAAGGCUUGAAUAACUGUUUUGAUCCAAAAGAAUAUUAGCAAAAGAAUCUCUAGAACUCAUUAGAGAACUCACUCAAUGCAUAAACUUAGUAUAUAGGUUAGCUAACAUAUUCAAAUGUACUGUAUACGCUAGAUGGUACUGCUUUCAUUGACAAGACAGCUGCACUAGGUGACCUUAGCAAAGAAGUCUUUCCAAUAUCUCAUUUUAAUGGUUGCCUUGGUUAAUUGAAUUAAUGAAUUAGCUUCAGCUAUUAUUCAAAAGGAUGCUGAAACUGGUAAAUGCCGAGAUGGCAUAAAGAUAGCCCACUCUCCUGUUAGUUCUAUUUAAACUCAUCUUGGCUUAAAUGGACUUCAGUCAGGUCCCUUGAAAAUCAAGAGCAUUGACGAUAUUGUUUUAGAUUCUUUACACACACAGACUUGAAGAAAAAAUUAUCGCUGUUGUAUUCCUUGCAACACUCGCCAUUCAUUUGCACCCUAGCAGUUAUGAAUCAUUAUGUUAUUGUUUUCCUUUUAAUGUCUGCCACGCAUCAAUAGUCAUAAUGGAUAGAGAUUGAUAUAGGACUGAGAUUUAGCCAUAACUCAGCAAUUAAAAUGCUCAGCUGGUCUUUGUUCCACUGGUCCCUGGUGCAUAGAAUCCUGUUCAUUAAUCUGCAUGUUGAUUACUGCCUCUGUGUCUUAUUGAUUGGAGUUUCACAGCUCUGUGCGUGCAAUAGCGUUUCAUUGCCAUGGGCUGCUCCAGCACUCUGUACCCCAGCUGAAUGAAAGCAAAACACAAGAAGAGAUCUAGUUGCCUUUAUCUGAUUUGGACCCAUAUACUUGGACAUGGUAAUAUUCUCCCUUCCCCAUGCGUCCCAUCCAUAAGCAGAUUACAGACAAUGUUUAGACAAUGCAUGAGAAAUGAAUGAGAUCUUCAAACGCUAUGGAUUAGAAAUAGCUCAGCAUUGUACGUUUAGAGACACACUGCAUUUAAAUAUAUGAACCAUUUUAUUAAAUCCAUAGAAGUCCAUAUUGCAGAGGUAUUAGCAGUGGCAUUAUCUGCUAUUGCUCUGUCCUAUAAACUGUUACAUGGACAAGGUAGCACAUAGGGCUGCAUAUGAAGACAGAAAGCCAAGCUCCUCCUCUUGCUCGGGUAUUAGAAGCUGGAAUCAGUGCUGGAGCAGCACUUCUGAUUGGUUGGCUGCUGCAUUGAUGCUAUUGCCCAGGUCCCUGUCCUAUAUGAGGAUGGUAUUUACUCAUGGCAAGGAAGACUUUGUGGAGCACGAGCAGUGAAGUAACUAUAAUUGAGUGAAUGAGUUCAAAGAACCCGGGCCACUGAGCUCCUGAGGGGCUCCCAGAUCCACCCCUCCCUAUUUUCUUCAUUAUCUCCAUCACUCCGAAGGGCCGCCGGAGAGAGGGAUGGACACGGGCCACCUCUCCCCUAGCUACGCCCCUGAGCAUGAGAGUACCUUUUCAGAUUUCCGGAGGAGGAGAUUUUCAGCAGUAUAAAAGAUUCAGUUGUCUUUGGGCCUUUUCAGUUGUGGCCUCUCAGCUUUGGAAUGUCCUCCCCAAAGAGCUCUGCCAUGCUCCCUCCAUGUAUUAAAAAAAAAUUGCAAUUAAAAAUCAGUCUUUUUAAAGAGGCAUUAAAAAUGUUUUAUCUGCGGCUUAUAUCUGGUAGCUUUUUUAGUUUUUAUAGUUCUCAGUUUUUAGCUUAUUAAUAACUUUUAAUUUGAAACUUGUUUUUAAAAAUGUUAUUUUAAAUGUGGUUUUAGCCUGGUAUUUAACUUAACUUCUUCAGUGUUAAUAGACUUAUUUUACAUUGUAUCUGUUUUAUUAAUGCUGUGAGCCACACCGAGCUCAGAAAUGUACAGGAGGGCUGGGGGUAUAAAUAGCUUAAAUAAAUACAUUUGGCGUGCAUCACUUAUGAGCUUAAAUACAGAGCAGAGAAUGUCUCCCUAGUCUAGUAUUUUGACACACCAAUAUUUAAAGCAUUGCAUGCAAAGAGUUGACAGAAUCUGGCCUUAAGAGAGUGCAUCAGUGGACAGAUUUAGA